UACCAGCACCCCGAGUGGUCGGGACGAUUAUUGGGCCUAAAGCAUCCGUAGCCGGUUCUGCAAGUCCCCCGUUAAAUCCAGCUGCUCAACAGAUGGGCCGCGGAGGAUACUACAGAGCUAGGAGGCAGGAAAGGCAAGCGGUACUCAGUGGGUAGGGGUAAAAUCCGUUGAUCCAUUGAAGACCACCAGUGGCGAAGGCGGCUUGCCAGAAUGCGCUCGACGGUGAGGGAUGAAAGCUGGGGGAGCAAACCGG
rnacentral:rRNA from 1 species